rnacentral:rRNA from 1 species
ACUCCUAGGGAGGCAGCAGUGGGGAAUAUUGCACAAUGGGCGCAAGCCUGAUGCAGCCAUGCCGCGUGUAUGAAGAAGGCCUUCGGGUUGUAAAGUACUUUCAGCAGUGAGGAAGGUGGAUAUGUUAAUAGCAUAUUCAUUUGUACGUUAGCUGCAGAAGAAGCACCGGCUAACUCCGUGCCAGCAGCCGCGGUAAUACGGAGGGUGCGAGCGUUAAUCGGAAUUACUGGGCGUAAAGCGCAUGCAGGUGGUUUGUUAAGUCAGAUGUGAAAGCCCGGGGCUCAACCUCGGAAUUGCAUUUGAAACUGGCAAACUAGAGUACUGUAGAGGGGGGUAGAAUUUCAGGUGUAGCGGUGAAAUGCGUAGAGAUCUGAAGGAUACCGGUGGCGAAGGCGGCCCCCUGGACAGAUACUGACACUCAGAUGCGAAAGCGUGGGGAGCAAACAGGAUUAGAUCCCCUGGUAGGCUCUGC